AUUGAACGCUGGCGGCAGGCCUUACACAUGCAAGUCGAACGAGUGGCGUAAGGAUGAGUAAUGUCUGUGACACUGCCUGCUGGAGGGGUAUAACUACUGGAAACUGUAGCUACUACCGCCUACCAUCAGCUGUGCCCAGAUGGGAUUAGCUUGUUGGUGGGGUAACGGCUCACCAAGGCGACGAUCCCUAGCUGGUUGGAGAGGAUGACCAGCCACACUGGAACUGAGACACGGCCCAGACUCCUACGGGAGGCAGCAGUGGGGAAUAUUGGACAAUGGGCGAAAGCCUGAUGCAGCCAUGCCGCGUGUAUGAAGAAGGCCUUCGGUUUGUAAAGUACUUUCAGCGGGGAGGCGUUACCCGCAGAAGAAGCACCGGCUAACUCCGUGCCAGCAGCCGCGGUAAUAC
rnacentral:rRNA from 1 species